rnacentral:lncRNA from 1 species
ACCCACGAAUCCGAAGUGCGACUUUGACAAGGCUUGCUGGGUAGCUUCAGUCCAACCUUGUCAACUCUCCUGAAAACCUGCCUAUUAUUUUACUGAAAUGAGACAAGGGAAGAAUUCCUCGAAUUUUAGGAUUGUGUUCUUGAAGGCUGGAGAGCGUUUAGUAAAUAUAGAACGACUGCAAAUACAGGUAUUUUUACUGACUCAGGGUGCACAGCCCCAAGCACAGUUGAUUCACAGUUCCUUGGUGCAUCUUUUCUGUUGGAGAAACCAGGACAGACUGAGAUGAACAUUUUUGUCUUGAUUUCAAACUCAAGUGAGGAAGACUGAUCUGCCCAGCUCGGGCCAGAGUUAUCACUCAAUAACUCAUGUGAUCACAAACUUAAUAGAACUGAUUUUAUAUUUUCGAA